UUUUUUUACUUUAAAAAAUAUUAAAUUUCAAGUACUAAGUUUAAAAAUGUUUUCGGCUGAUAUUUUUCAUUUUAAAUUAUUUAUUAAAGUUGGGGUCAUUGUAUGUGGCGAUCUAUUUUUUUACAGUCUAUGCUCGCUAUCCCAAGGUUCAUUGCGAUCCCAAGGUUCACUGCGGUUUUCCACAAGCCUGUUUCUGCCUAUCACCAUGAGUGAUUCCUCAAUACUCAGAUUUAUCAUCAAGAUCUCAAUUAUAAGCUCAAGUUUUGAUGACAACUUGGCGAUCUGCAGAAAGCACCACCAUGUAAGGAAGUCCAAGACCACUCUGGAAUCAGUCAAGGGAUUGCAGUGACCAGACAUGCUACUGUAACUCUCAUGGUCAUGUGCUGGAAUUAGCAGAUGUUCAACAAUUUGGCCAUCUCACUGACCUAUUGAUAUCAGAAGACCGCAACAGCUCUGCAAAGCAAGUUGCAAAACAGAAUCCAUGGAACUGGCAGUGACUGGAAACCAAUUGGAAGACUUUGGUCUGUGAUGUAGAGGAGUGGGCAGAGGGUGAGGAAAUUCUUAUUAAUAUUACAUGUAGUCAUGAAAAAUUGUAAGUGUUACUAUUAUUGUCAUUUUUUCAGUAGCAGAAGCAAAGACAACAAAAAACAGAAGUGAUAUGGAUGUCUUCGUCAUAUGGCAUGACUCUGCUGACCCAGCAACAAAGAGGAGGGUGUUCAACAUCAUCCUGCUAGUCAGGAUUCUUCAGGAGAAGCAGUGGAUUCUUGUGGCAGAGAUGGCCAACCACUAUAAAUACCUUUCAACUCAUCCUGGUUCUUUCAAAGAACUUUCCUGCUUGUUUGCUACUGAAAUAUUCGACAUGUGGCCUAAACGAAGAGGGGUCUAUGGAUCAUUAUUCUCAAAAAGCAACAAAAUAACUGAGAAAUAAACAACAAUACGAUGGUGCAAUCUAGAGACCUGCAAGGUACCUGCAAGUUUUGGCUGGAGCAGAAAACAUACAUUUUUUAAAUAAAGCUCCAGCUGAUGAGUUUGACAUUGACUGUGGAUUUUCUUUUAUUGUAAUCCAGAAGAGGAUGACCUUAACCCUGAAUCUAAAGCAUGUAAUAAAAUCUGUAAAAAUAAAAUAAAAUUUUCAUCAUCUAUAACCAAA
ensembl:processed_transcript